rnacentral:rRNA from 1 species
AACGAACGCUGGCGGCAUGCCUAACACAUGCAAGUCGAACGAGACCUUCGGGUCUAGUGGCGCACGGGUGCGUAACGCGUGGGAACCUGCCCUUAGGUUCGGAAUCACUCCCCGAAAUGGUUGCUCAUACCGGAUAAUGUUUUCGGACAAGAGGUUUAUCGCCUUUGGUUGGGCCCGCGUUGGAUUAGCUAGUUGGUAGGGUAAAAGCCUACCAAGGCGACGAUCCAUAGCUGGUCUGAGAGGAUGAUCAGCCACACUGGAACUGAGACACGGCCCAGACGAAGACGGAAGGGAGCAGAAAGGAAAAUUGGACAGAGGGCGAAAGCCUGAUAAAGGAAAGCAGAGAGAGGGAUAAAGGCAUUAGGGUUGUAAAGCACUUUUACACGGGAUGAUAAUGACAGAGCCGGAAGAAUAAGAUCAGGCUAAAUCCGA